rnacentral:rRNA from 1 species
GCCAGCAGCCGCGGUAAUACGGAGGGUCCGAGCGUUAAUCGGAAUUACUGGGCGUAAAGCGUGCGCAGGCGGUUUGUUAAACCAGAUGUGAAAUCCCCGGGCUCAACCUGGGAAUUGCAUUUGGAACUGGCGAACUAGAGUCUUGUAGAGGGGGGUAGAAUUCCAGGUGUAGCGGUGAAAUGCGUAGAGAUCUGGAGGAAUCCGGUGGCGAAGGCGGCCCCCUGGACAAAGACUGACG